AGGUUAUCGGAUCGGUUGGGUGAUGGCCUUCACGGGUUAUUGCCACAGCUGAGAAGACACCCGAACUUGAUCGUUUAGAGGAAGUAAAAGUCGUAACAAGGUUUCCGUAGGUGAACCUGCGGAAGGAUCAUUACUGAUUGCGAUCGAUAGUGUGGAAACGGAGAAACCAAUUAACGCGUGAUGCGAAUAGGUAAAACGGGAGCUUGGCUUCAACAACAAAAUCGGUGCACCACCUUUACAUGUUGUGCUACCGGGCUCUCGCCGGUAAUCGGCUCCAGUCGUUUUACCGACCGGUCCGCUGGUGUCGGUAUAAUGUGACCAGCCGUGGUUGUUUGUCUUUUUAACCUCUGGACUAUUUUUGUCCACGGAUCGAGGCCAGACCGUCCCGCAGCGCUGGGUGAGUCUCGGUUGCCCGCCCUUGGCCGCUUCAAGGGGAGGAGACGUUCGGGGUACGUAGCCCUUUGGAAAGGGAGACUUUUCCUUUGGGGGGACCGCAACGGUCGGCGCACGUUUGAAGACUGCAGCUCUGGCAGCGCCCCGACAGCCACGUUCGUUUUUUCAACUUUCAAAAAAAAUUCUUUUAUCAACCAAAACUAACUCUGACGACAAUUGCCUUUGUCGUCGGGAGUUUUUCCAC
rnacentral:rRNA from 1 species